rnacentral:sRNA from 1 species
UCACGGUUAGUGAAGUGGUCGUAACCAUC